rnacentral:rRNA from 1 species
UACAGAGGUCGCGAGCGUUAAUCGGAUUUACUGGGCGUAAAGCGUGUGUAGGUGGUUAUACAAGUCGGUUGUGAAAUCCCCGGGCUCAACCUGGGAACUGCUUCCGAGACUGCAUGACUAGAGAUCGGUAGAGGGCGGUGGAAUUUCCGGUGUAGCGGUGAAAUGCGUAGAGUAUCGGAAGGAACACCAAUGGCGAAGGCAGCCGCCUGGGCCUGAUCUGACACUGAGACACGAAAGCGUGGGGAGCGAACAGG